GCUGUACAGGAGAGUUCUGAGGGAGGCUGUAAUCAGCUGUACAGGAGAGUUCUGAGGGAGGCUGUAAUCAGCUGUACAGGAGAGUUCUGAGGGAGGUUGUAAUCAGCUGUACAGGAGAGUUCUGAGGGAGGCUGUAAUCAGCUGUACAGGAGAGUUCUGAGGGAGGUUGUAAUCAGCUGUACAGGAGAGUUCUGAGGGAGGUUGUAAUCAGCUGUACAGGAGAGCAAUGCUGUGCUGCCUGCUUCUAGUAGUGUUAUAAUCCCAAUAUAACAGUGUACAGUCUGACUCAGCAGAAAAACCUAGUUCUCAGUCCCGUCCAGAUCUGCCUAAUGUUUCUGUUAAUUGUUAGGUGUCAAACACUGGCUAACAAAAGCACAGUUUGUAAUCACUAAGUGGACUCCAAAAACUAAUUGUGCCUGCUUAGAUCUAUUCCAUGUUGUUGUACUGAACCCAUUAGAAGACUGUCUGACUGACAGCCUGAUGUAUGUCAAGUAUUCAUGAAGAUGGACGAGGCUAGAACCCAUUAGAAGACUGUCUUCGUGAAGAUGGACGAGGCCAGAACCCAUUAGAAGACUGUCUUCGUGAAGAUGGACGAGGCUAGAACCCAUUAGAAGACUGUCUUCGUGAAGAUGGACGAGGCUAGAACCCAUUAGAAGACUGUCUUCGUGAAGAUGGACGAGGCUAGAACCCAUUAGAAGACUGUCUUCGUGAAGAUGGACGAGGCUAGAACCCAUUAGAAGACUGUCUUCGUGAAGAUGGACGAGGCUAGAACCCAUUAGAAGACUACAGUCUUGGUGAAGAUGGACGAGGCUAGAACCCAUUAGAAGACUGUCUUCAUGAAGAUGGACGAGGCCAGAACCCAUUAGAAGACUGUCUUCGUGAAGAUGGACGAGGCCAGAACCCAUUAGAAGACAGUCUUCGUGAAGAUGGACGAGGCUAGAACCCAUUAGAAGACUGUCUUCGUGAAGAUGGACGAGGCUAGAACCCAUUAGAAGACUGUCUUCGUGAAGAUGGACGAGGCUAGAACCCAUUAGAAGACUGUCUUCAUGAAGAUGGACGAGGCUAGAACCCAUUAGAAGACUGUCUUCAUGAAGAUGGACGAGGCUAGAACCCAUUAGAAGACUGUCUUCAUGAAGAUGGACGAGGCUAGAACCCAUUAGAAGACUGUCUUCAUGAAGAUGGACGAGGCUAGAACCCAUUAGAAGACUGUCUUCAUGAAGAUGGACGAGGCCAGAACCCAUUAGAAGACUGUCUUCAUGAAGAUGGACGAGGCCAGAACCCAUUAGAAGACUGUCUUCGUGAAGAUGGACGAGGCUAGAACCCAUUAGAAGACUGUCUUCGUGAAGAUGGACGAGGCCAGAACCCAUUAGAAGACUGUCUUCGUGAAGAUGGACGAGGCUAGAACCCAUUAGAAGACUGUCUUCAUGAAGAUGGACGAGGCCAGUAGCCCUGAAGGGACAAUAGAGAGGAACAAUCUGCUGCUGUUCACUCCAAUAGGAAAACAACAGUAGUUAAGAGGAGAAUUGUAAUCAGAUACGUUGUUCAUGUUUUUUACCUAAUAAUGAUGUCACUGGUUCAUUCUGAACUAUUAUAGGGCUGCUUUCUCAGACGACCCCUUGGUCCUGGACUAAACAUCACUUUCAAUGGAGAAUGUCCAUUCACCACUGCUCUCUAGCCCAGAACUAGGUUUAGGCCGAAUGAGGAAACCGGCCCGUUUUAUAAAGAUAUAUAUAUAUAAACCUGUUACGAAAGUUUUAAGCCUUGAUGGGACUCAGCAACUACAGUAGAGGGGUAAAAAAUGGUUCUCUACGCAAUUCAUUACAGUGCCUUUAUGUCAAUCUUUUUAAAUGUAUUGCCACAUUUUACAGAGGUCUUACAGUAAGUAAUCGUGUCUAGCUACACUAUAUAUACAAAAGUAUGUGGACACCCCUUCAAAUGAGUGGAUUCGUCUAUUUCAGACAUCUGUUGCCGACAGGUGUAUAAAAUUGAGCAUGCCUCCAUGCAAUCUCCAUAGACAAACACUGGUAGUAGAAUUGCCUUAGUGAAGAGCUCAUUGACGUUCAACGUGGCACCAUCGUAGGAUGCCACCUUUCCAACAAGUCAGUUUGUCAAAUUUCUGCCCUGCUAGAGCUGCCCCCCGGUCAACUGUAAGUUCUGUUAUUACAGAGCGGCUCAGCCGCUAAGUGGUAGGCCACAUAAGCUCACAGAACGGGACCACCCGAGUGCUGAAGCGCUUGGCACGUAACAAUCGUCUGACCUCGGUUGCAACACUCACUACCGAGUUUCAAACUGCCUCUGGAAGCAACGUCAGCACAAGAACUGUUCGUUGGGAGCUUCAUGAAAUGGGUUUCCAUGGCCGAGCAGCCGCACACAAGCCUAAGAUCACCAUGCGCAAAGCCAAGCGUCGGCUGGAGUGGUGUAAAGCUCACCACCAUUGGAUUCUGGAGUAGUGGAAACGCUUCACCAUCUGGCAGUCUGACGGAUGAAUCUGGGUUUGGCGAAUGCCAGGAGAACGCUACCUGCCUGAAUGCAUAGUGCCAACUGUAAAGUUUGGUGGAGGAAGAAUAAUGGUCUGGGGCUGUUUUCCAUGGUUCGGGUCCCUUAGUUCCAGUGAAGGGAAAUCUUAAUGCUACAGCAGACAAUGACAUUCAAGAUGAUUCUCUGCUUCCAACUUUGAGACAAAUGUUUUGGGGAAGGCCCUUUCCUGUUUCAGCAUGACAAUGCCCCCGUUCACAAAGCGAGGUCCAUACGGAAAUGGUUUGUCGAGAUCAGUGUAGAAGAACUUGACUGGCCUGCACAGAGCCCUGACCUCAACCCCAUCGAACACCUUUGGGAUGAAUUGGAACGCAGACUGCGAGCCAGGAGGCCUAAUCGCCCAACAUCAAUGCACUGACCUCACUAAUGCUCUUGUGACUGAAUGGAAGAAAGUCCCCUCAGCAAUGUUCCAACAUCUAGUGGAAAGCCUUCCCAGAAGAGAGGAGUCUGUUAUAGCAGCAAUGUUCCAACCUCUAGUGGAAAGCCUUCCCAGAAGAGUGGAGGCUGUUAUAGCAGCAAUGUUCCAACAUCUAGUGGAAAGCCUUCCCAGAAGAGAGGAGGCUGUUAUAGCAGCAAUGUUCCAACAUCUAGUGGAAAGCCUUCCUAGAAGAGAGGAGGCUGUUAUAGCAGCAAUGUUCCAACCUCUAGUGGAAAGCCUUCCUAGAAGAGAGGAGGCUGUUAUAGCAGCAAUGUUCCAACAUCUAGUGGAAAGCCUUCCUAGAAGAGUGGAGGCUGUUAUAGCAGCAAUGUUCCUACAUCUAGUGAAAGCCUUCCCAGAAGAGAGGAGGCUGUUAUAGCAGCAAAGGGGAGGACCAACUCCAUAUGUAAUACCCAUGUUUUUUGCAAUGAGAUGUUGGACGGGCAGGUGUCCACAUACUUUUGGUCAUGUAGUGUACAAACUACAAACACACGUUAUAGAAAUUCCACUCACAACACUAACACGUGUCCAAACCUGAUACUUUUUUUAAAAAUAAAUUUUUAUAAUUGUAGCCUCUCUUUAGUGUGGUAUCAAGUUCUUUCCCCAGAGUGUUUUAUUUUAUAUAAUGUUUUAUAAAUUACAUCUCUGAUUUUGACCUGAUGAUAUUGAAUACUGUUUUACUGGUUUGUUAGUUAUUUCGUUGCGGAUGGGCUUUGGUGGGUUGUUCUUGGAUUAUCUGUGGGUUCGAUAACUGAUCUACAAGUUGAUAACGAGUGUUUGACUUUUAGGGGAAAAGUAUUUAUAAAAUGUAUCCUGGAGCAGAAAACACAAUGCAGGACAGUGGGGGGAAAACAGACGUAUUUAAUUAAAUUGAAAGUUUCUAAUUACGAUUUGAAAAUGGAUAUCGAGAUAUACUGAAUAACUAAUUUUGAAAGAAAAAAUAGUUGUAUUGAUUUGUUGCCUAUAUAAAGUAUUAAUGAAUUAUAAAUGAUAUUGAUAUUUCAAUGUUUCACAUUUUGGAAUUGAUCUUUAGCCAAACCUAGUGUGAUUUGUAUUGGAAGGAAUUGAUCUUUAGCCAAACCUAGUGUGAUUUGUAUUGGAAGGAAUUGAUCUUUAGCCAAACCUAGUGUGAUUUGUAUUGGAAGGAAUUGA
ensembl:lncRNA